AAUUGGUCUCAAAGCACAGAGCUCAAGUAAUUUAUACCAGAAACACCAAGGGUGGAGAUGCCCCAGCUGCUGGUGAAGAUGCAUGAAAUGAAAAGGUCCCACCAACUACACUUCGAAAAAUAAAACUUUAUUAAAUCAA